UGCCAGUUUGAUGAUUUCUUCAGUAGCAUUUGGUCUUGUAAAAAAAAUUGCAAAAAUUAGGAGUGCUACGAUUUUGGUUGAAAUCCUUCUGGUGUUGAGCACAAGGAAGCAAUGAAAAAUCAUGAUUUUUCAAACCCAAAGUUGCGCUGCAGGGAUGAAUGUGUGAUGAGAGUACCUGGAUUGAUUGUCAACAAAGAAGCCAAUUUAGAUCAAUUUAAAACAGUUUUAAAGCAUUUUCAUGGUGAGGCUUAUUCUAACGAAAAAUUGGAAUCAUUUAUUGAAAAGUACUUGGGAGAAGUCGCAUCAACUGCCAGGGCCAUUAGCGACUGUCCUGUAGGGUUAAUUGUAAACUGUAGGGUAUCUGUGGGGUAGUAUACCAAGAACAGAAGCGAAGCUUUCAGAAAACACGUGCAGCCCUGCCUCCUGCUGUGGGAAUCGAACCCGCGCCAGCGUAACUACCAAGUCUGCAGUGUUAGAACACAGGACAAUCACUAUAACAUCUGAGCCACGAAGACACCCUAAAAUAAAAAUUUGUCCGUACGAUAUCUUGGCAUCUUAUUAAAUGAUAAAAAUCUUGCCAGUUCUCUGUUGGCUUAACAGUCGAAAAAAUGUUGCGCUAUUGAUACAAUAAUUUACGAAGUGUCUCAGAAACGAAUUUAGCUAACCAUGAAAGUUUUAUUGUCAUCGGCCGUAUUUUUUUCUCUUUGCAGUGCUACAAUCAGGUAGAAGUCAAGAAGCUUAAUUGAAGAAGGAUAGCAAUGAAAUAAAACAGCAAACAAAUAAUAAAUUGGGUAAAGUGAGCCAAGCGCAUAGAGGAUGAAUGCGACUUCGUAAACGCUGUUCAGCAAUGUAAUAAUGCGGAUAAAAUUUAAGGAUGGACUUAACACAAGAUAUUGAAAAUAGCUUGCAACAAAAUUUCAAAUUAAUAAUUCAUACAUAUUGUAAAAAUAUAUUCAAUGAUUGUAGAAUUAGAAUUAAAGUAUAGUUUUCAAAAAUCAAAUAAAGCUAAAAAAUCUUUGGUAAAAACUUGUG